rnacentral:tRNA from 1 species
GGGGAAACAGCUCUGUGGAGAGCGCAUGCUUCACAGGCAUAAGGUCCUGGGUUCAAUCCCCAGUACCUCCA